GAGUUUGAUCGUGGCUCAGGAUUAACGCUAGCGGCAGGCCUAAUACAUGCAAGUCGUACGGUAACAGGUGUAGCAAUACAUGCUGACGAGUGGCGCACGGGUGCGUAACACGUAUGUAAUCUGCCUUUAACUGGGGAAUAACCCCUCGAAAGAGGGGCUAAUACCGCAUAACAUCACCGGACGGCAUCGCCUGGUGAGCAAACCUACGGGGGUUAAAGAUGAACAUGCGACUGAUUAGUUAGUUGGCGGGGUAACGGCCCACCAAGACAGCGAUCAGUAGGGGAUCUGAGAGGAUGAUCCCCCACACGGGUACUGAGACACGGACCCGACUCCUACGGGAGGCAGCAGUAAGGAAUAUUGGACAAUGGAGGCAACUCUGAUCCAGCCAUGCCGCGUGAAGGAUGAAUGCGCUAUGCGUUGUAAACUUCUUUUAUACGGGAAAAAUAUCCCGCGUUCUCGCGGGAUUGAUUGUACUGUAAGAAUAAGGGUC
rnacentral:rRNA from 1 species